GCCUAGCUGGCUCAGUCAGUAGAGCUUGUGACUCUUGAUCUCGGGGUUGUGAGUUCAAGCCCCAUGUUGGGCA
rnacentral:tRNA from 1 species